UACGGGGGGGGGCAAGCGUUGUUCGGAAUUACUGGGCGUAAAGGGCUCGUAGGUGGCCAACUAAGUCAGACGUGAAAUCCCUCGGCUUAACCGGGGAACUGCGUCUGAUACUGGAUGGCUUGAGUUCGGGAGAGGGAUGCGGAAUUCCAGGUGUAGCGGUGAAAUGCGUAGAUAUCUGGAGGAACACCGGUGGCGAAGGCGGCAUCCUGGACCGACACUGACGCUGAGGCGCGAAAGCUAGGGGAGCAAACGGGG
rnacentral:rRNA from 1 species